rnacentral:rRNA from 1 species
GACGAACGCUGGCGGCGUGCUUAACACAUGCAAGUCGAACGAAGAGCGAUGGAAGCUUGCUUCUAUCAAUCUUAGUGGCGAACGGGUGAGUAACGCGUAAUCAACCUGCCCUUCAGAGGGGGACAACAGUUGGAAACGACUGCUAAUACCGCAUACGAUCUAAUCUCGGCAUCGAGGAUAGAUGAAAGGUGGCCUCUACAUGUAAGCUAUCACUGAAGGAGGGGAUUGCGUCUGAUUAGCUAGUUGGAGGGGUAACGGCCCACCAAGGCGAUGAUCAGUAGCCGGUCUGAGAGGAUGAACGGCCACAUUGGGACUGAGACACGGCCCAGACUCCUACGGGAGGCAGCAGUGGGGCAUCUUCCGCAAUGGACGAAAGUCUGACGGAGCAACGCCGCGUGAGUGAUGACGGCCUUCGGGUUGUAAAGCUCUGUUAAUCGGGACGAAAGGCCUUCUUGCGAACAGUUAGAAGGAUUGACGGUACCGGAAUAGAAAGCCACGGCUAACUACGUG